rnacentral:rRNA from 1 species
UGCUAGAAGACGAGCUUGCGUACCAUUAGCUAGUUGGUAGGGUAAUGGCCUACCAAGGCGACGAUGGUUAGCGGGUCUGAGAGGAUGACCAGCCACACUGGAACUGAGAUACGGUCCAGACUCCUACGGGAGGCAGCAGUGAGGAAUCUUGCGCAAUGGGGGCAACCCUGACGCAGCAACGCCGCGUGGAUGAUGAAGGCCUUCGGGUCGUAAAGCUCUGUCAGAUGGGAAGAAAGUUCCAUCGACGAAUAAUCGAUGGGAUUGACGGUACUGUCAAAGGAAGCACCGGCUAACUCCGUGCCAGCAGCCGCGGUAAUACGGAGGGUGCAAGCGUUGUUCGGAAUUACUGGGCGUAAAGCGCGCGUAGGCGGUUUGUUAAGUCAGAUGUGAAAGCCCAUGGCUCAACCAUGGACGUGCAUUUGAAACUGGCAGACUUGAGUAUUGGAGGGGGUGGUGGAAUUCCCGGUGUAGAGGUGAAAUUCGUAGAUAUCGGGAGGAAUACCGGUGGCGAAGGCGACCACCUGGCCAAAUACUGACGCUGAGACGCGAAAGCGUGGGGAGCAAACAGGAUUAGAUACCCUGGUAGUCCACGCCGUAAACGAUGGGUACUAGGUGUUGCGGGUAUUGACCCCUGCAGUGCUGCAGUUAACGCAAUAAGUAUUCCGCCUGGGGAGUAUGCACGCAAGUGUGAAACUCAAAGGAAUUGACGGGACCCCGCACAAGCGGUGGAUUAUGUUGUUUAAUUCGACGCAACGCGAAGAACCUUACCAGGCCUUGACAUACUCGGCAAAGCUCUAAGCUCUAGAGAUAGAGUGGAGGUUAUCCGGGAUACAGGUGGUGCAUGGUUGUCGUCAGCUCGUGUCGUGAGAUGUUGGGUUAAGUCCCGCAACGAGCGCAACCCUUGUCUUUAGUUACCAUCAUUCAGUUGGGGACUCUAGAGAGACUGCCGGUGAUAAACCGGAGGAAGGUGGGGAUGACGUCAAAUCAUCAUGCCCCUUAUGGCCUGGGCUACAAACGUAAUACAAUGGCGUAUACAAAGGGAUGCGAAAGGGCGACCUGGAGCCAAUCCCAAAAAGCCGGGCCAAGUUCGGAUCGGAGGCUGCAACUCGCCUCCGUGAAGUCGGAAUCGCUAGUAAUCGCAGAUCAGCAUGCUGCGGUGAAUACGUUCCCGGGCCUUGUACACACCGCCCGUCACACCACGGGAGUUGGU